GACGCGCUCGCUCCCUUCCCCGCAAACUAUGGUCAGAAGCGAGGGAAGUGGCGGAGAGGGCUGGGUAGCGGGCCGGCCAAUGGGGGCCCGCGGGGGUCGGGAGGGUUCUCAAAGAACGGAGGGGCUGAAAAGGGGAAGAAGAGAGGAAGGGGGACGGGGAAGGCGACGCGGCCGCUGAUUGGACCGUUUGAAUGAGACGCCGCCACGGCCCGGCAUACGCGCGGGCGCGCCCUGACGCUGAGGAAGUCGCGCACGCGACUAACGGUCUUCCUGGGGGCCGGAGCGUGGCGAGGGGAGGCGGGACUCGGGGUUUUAAACGCGUGAUGGAAGGCGCUCGGGCCAAUAGGGAUGCGCUUUAGUGACUGGUGGGUCACGAGACUCGCAUGGGCCAAUGACUGAUAGAGACCGGUCAGAGGGCGACCCAGUUUCGUGCAGAUCAAACCGCUGCCAGCCAACGAAAUCCGUUGAUUUUUGUAUAUGCAAAUGAAGUGUGCGCUGCCGCCCGCGCCCCCUCCUUUGAGCCGUGGUGGAGGUGGGCGCUGGAACUCCGACUACAUUUUUCUAUGAGGCGCCAUUUUGUGCUGGAAAUGCUCUUGGACCCACGUCCUGUAUUGCUAAGGCUCAAAGAUCAGUCAGAAUGACCUUGAAGGCUUGGACAGCCUUGCACUCCGUGUGUGACCCCCACUCCUGCCAGGCUUCAUCGAAGACGCCAGCCUCAGUUUCCUUAUGUGACAAAUGGGCACUGGGAUCCGUUGUAUUGCCAGGGAAAGAAGUCAGAGAGUGCCAAGACGGUUAUUCACGGCAUGGUUAUGCCUAUGACUGACCCAUGGCCUCCAGCCACACCCGCCUUCUCUGGGACUCAGUUUCCCUCUCUAGGAAAUGGACACAUAGCUGCCUGGAAAAGGGACCAUCUCCAGCCCUCAGUGUCAGUAAAAACGUCAGGCAAUUGCUUGAGAACGGUGGCCAGAGCUCCCUGAGCAGGCCUUUUGGAGGGGCUUAGAGAGGAGGAGGGAAUGCUGAAGUUGGCCUUCCUUUGCUCAUCUGUGCAGUGCGGUCGCAGUGCCCUCUCGGUGUCUCUGCCAGUCUGUGCGUCCACAGCUCUUCUUAGUUUCUUGGCCUUUUUCAGCCAUGGAUGAGAGCAUUAACAUCUGGGCCUAAUUUGGCCACAGGUACCUGAAAAGACCCCUGGCUACCAGCUUCCCCUCAUGGGGCCUCAGCUUCUGAAGAAGGAAUAAGGAAGGUGUGAAAGAAAUCUACAUGGCCAAGGCCAGGCGUGGUAGCUCACGCCUGUAAUCCCAGCACUUUGGGAGGCUGAAGCUGGCAGAUCACCUGAGGUCAGGAGUUUGAGACCAGCCUGGCCAACAUGGUGAAACCCCAUCUGUACUAAAAAUACAAAAAUUAGCCAGGUGUGUUGAUGCAGCCCUGUAAUCCCAGCUACUCGUGAGGCUGAGAUGGGAGAAUCGGUUAAAGCCGGGAUGUGGAGGUUGCAGUGAACUGAGAUCUCGCCACUGCACCCCAGCCUGGGCAACAGAGCAAGACCCUGUCUCAAAAAACAAAAAAGCAAAAAAAAAAAAAAAACCAAAAAACAAAACCUACAUGGUCGGGUACAGUGACUACGCCCAUAAUCCCAGCACUUUGGGAGGCCAAGGUAGGUCGAUCACUUGAGCCCAGGAGUUCAAGACCAGCCUGGGCAACAUAGUGAGAGACCCCCACCAAUAUGUACAAAACAAACAAACCCAAAACAACUGAAGAAACAGCUACAGCAUAAAAAGUCAUCAUCAUAACUAGUUUGUGGAGAAAUGGCUUCAGGUGAUCCCUUCCUGCUCCCUCACCCCAGGUCCAAUCUAUACCAGUUCCUGUUGACGUCAUCUACUGAAUCUCAUCACGUCCCCCCAUCCGCUAUGCCACCAGUCCUGCUUAGAGUCAACGUCAUCCCAUUUUGCCGAUAAGCAUUUUGCUGAUCUUCAAUUUUAGCCUGCUGGGUGUGGAGGAUUCCAACCCAAUUAACAGACAAGGAAGCUGAAGGAGCAGGAGUGUCUACACUCUAGCUGUCAGGAUGCUAUGGGAUACAGCAGAGAAUAAAAGGGACAAAGCCUCGACUUUCAUGGAUCUUACAUCCUGGUGCGGGAGCCAGAUAGCAAUUCUCUUUCCAGAGUGAUGCGCAAACAAACCCUCAGAUGCAAGGUGAAAGCCUGAAGCUUAGAGACAAAUAUUUAGUUGCAUCUAGGGAGAAUUUUCCUAAAGUUCGUAAAAUUGGUACAUAGAGGAACCUCCCCUCCUGGCCAGAGUCUGCAUCUGAGCACUAAGGUAAGGAGGCAACUCUCGUCAGCACUGUGCAAAUGUUUUAAUGCACUGGGUGGGAAAGGGAAGCAGGCAGGGAGAAUGCUUCCUUUUUGUAUUUUUUAUUUUUGAGACAAA
rnacentral:lncRNA from 1 species